CAACUCGCCUACACGAAGCUGGAAUCGCUAGUAAUCGCGGAUCAGCACGCCGCGGUGAAUACGUUCCCGGGCCUUGUACACACCGCCCGUCACACCAUGAGAGUUUGUAACACCCAAAGCCCGGUGGGGUAACCUUUUGGAGCCAGCCGUCUAAGGUGGGACAGAUGAUUGGGGUGAAGUCGUAACAAGGUAGC
rnacentral:rRNA from 1 species